rnacentral:rRNA from 1 species
AAAGCACUUUUCGGAGUGUGAGUAAAGUGGCGAACGGGUGAGUAACGCGUGGAUGAUCUACCCUUUGGUGGGGGAUAACCCGGGGAAACCCGGGCUAAUACCGCAUGAGCCUAAGGUUGUAAGCGAUUUCAGGGAAAGCCUUUUGGGUGCCGAAGGAGGAGUCCGCGUCCGAUUAGCUAGUUGGUGAGGUAAGAACUCACCAAGGCGACGAUUGGUAGCCGGUCUGAGAGGACGGACGGUCACACUGGGACUGAGACACGGCCCAGACUCCUACGGGAGGCAGCAGUGGGGAAUUUUGGGCAAUGGGCGCAAGCCUGACCCAGCAACGCCGCGUGGAGGAUGAAGGUUUUCGGAUCGUAAACUCCUGUCUAGAGGGACGAAGCAAGUGACGGUACCUCUGGAGGAAGCCCCGGCUAACUCCGUGCCAGCAGCCGCGGUAAUACGGGGGGGGCGAGCGUUGUUCGGAAUUACUGGGCGUAAAGGGCGCGUAGGCGGUUUCGGAAGUCAUGGGUGAAAGUCCUCGGCUCAACCGAGGGAUUGCCUGUGAAACCACGGGACUGGAGUGCUGGAGAGGGAAGUGGAAUUCCCAGUGUAGCGGUGAAAUGCGUAGAUAUUGGGAGGAACACCUGUGGCGAAGGCGGCUUUCUGGACAGACACUGACGCUGAGGCGCGAAAGCCAGGGGAGCGAACGGGAUUAGAUACCCCGGUAGUCCUGGCUGUAAACGAUGAACACUUGGUGUGGGGGGUGAUGAAAGUCCCUCUGUGCCGUAGAGAACUCGUUGAGUGUUCCGCCUGGGGAGU